CCUACGGGGUGCAGCAGUGGGGAAUAUUGGACAAUGGGCGAAAGCCUGAUCCAGCCAUGCCGCGUGUGUGAAGAAGGCCUUCGGGUUGUAAAGCACUUUCAGUGGGGAAGAAAGCCUUGGGGCUAAUACCCUCGAGGAAGGACAUCACCCACAGAAGAAGCACCGGCUAACUCCGUGCCAGCAGCCGCGGUAAUACGGAGGGUGCGAGCGUGAAUCGGAAUUACUGGGCGUAAAGCGCGCGUAGGCGGUCUGAUAAGCCGGUUGUGAAAGCCCCGGGCUCAACCUGGGAACGGCAUCCGGAACUGUCAGGCUAGAGUGCAGGAGAGGAAGGUAGAAUUCCCGGUGUAGCGGUGAAAUGCGUAGAGAUCGGGAGGAAUACCAGUGGCGAAGGCGGCCUUCUGGACUGACACUGACGCUGAGGUGCGAAAGCGUGGGUAGCAAACAGGAUUAGAUACCCUUGUAGUC
rnacentral:rRNA from 1 species